rnacentral:rRNA from 1 species
GACGAACGCUGGCGGCGUGCUUAACACAUGCAAGUCGAACGGAAAGGCCCUGCUUGCAGGGUACUCGAGUGGCGAACGGGUGAGUAACACGUGGGUGAUCUGCCCUGCACUUCGGGAUAAGCCUGGGAAACUGGGUCUAAUACCGGAUAGGAGCCAUUUUUAGUGUGAUGGUUGGAAAGUUUUUUCGGUGUAGGAUGAGCUCGCGGCCUAUCAGCUUGUUGGUGGGGUAAUGGCCUACCAAGGCGGCGACGGGUAGCCGGCCUGAGAGGGUGGACGGCCACAUUGGGACUGAGAUACGGCCCAGACUCCUACGGGAGGCAGCAGUGGGGAAUAUUGCACAAUGGGCGCAAGCCUGAUGCAGCGACGCCGCGUGGGGGAUGACGGCCUUCGGGUUGUAAACUCCUUUCGCUAGGGACGAAGCUUUUUGUGACGGUACCUAGAUAAGAAGCACCGGCUAACUACGUGCCAGCCGCCGCCGUAACAC